rnacentral:rRNA from 1 species
UGCCAGCAGCCGCGGUAAUACGUAAGGGGCAAGCGUUACCCGGAAUUAUUGGGCGUAAAGCGUCCGCAGGUGGUUUGGUAAGUCUGUUAUUAAAUUUCGGAGCUCAACUUCGAAGCCGUAAUGGAAACUACUAAACUAGAGGUAUGGAGAGGUGUGUGGAAUUGUACAAGUAGGGGUAAAAUUCGUAGAUAUGUACAGGAACACCAAAAGCGAAGGCAGCACACUGGCCAUUACCUGACACUCAGGGACGAAAGCGUAGGUAGCAAAACGGAUUAGAUA